GUCGAAACAAAAUAUUUUUUAAUAAUAUCAGUGAAUAGGCACACGGCCUUUUACAGCUCCAGCGAACGUUGACAACAAACAUGUAACGUGAACCGUUAACUACAUAUGUAUCAUCCAACUUUGGCUACCUAUUGCAUAUGAAUGGUAAACAGGACCGCAAGCGGCGGUAAUGCAGCCUCCUGGUAGAGAAGUGUAUAAGUAUUUUAUGAUUUUUUUUAUCACCUCCCGUCAGUGUUCCUUGUUCAAGUCUUUCUCGUUCGCUGGCGCCAGAUCGCGUCGAUCAUCUCAGGAUCCAGCCCGUUUCGCACAUGACAGGGAGCUUAGCCCAACACUAAUGUACACUUAUUAACUUACAUAGAUGGUCGUGAAGGGGGAUAGAAAGAAACAAUGACGAGAACGAAACCAAACACACAUCGACAUAACUUUGGCAUGAGUAGUGUUCCCACCUUCGGCCUUGUUACCUUUUUCGCUGUCGUCAUCCAUCUGUAUAUAUGCGCGGCUGUGGUAGCCCGCGGCGAGAGCUACCCCCUCAACGUGCGGCGGAACAGCCGCGAAUGUGGCAUCGUAAGCGGGAUGGCGUCGUUCCACGCCCUGGAGCAAGACACGAGCAUCGAUCGCGAGGCGCUGCGGCUAUCCCAUCAUAGGUAAGACGCGCACGCAUUCGAGGCUUUUCUUCUUCUUCUUCAUGGCGCACCAGCAAAAACUGCAGCCCCGAACGUCAGCCGGACUUAUGUGGGUCGAGCCCAAAUCUCGAACCACGAAGAUCUGGACCUGGAAGCCUUUUGUUACAAGGGUCAGUCAUACGUGACGUCAGCAGCGAGGAUUGCAGGGACUUAAGCGUGUGUUGGAAUACGCGUAGUAACAACGCUGACUGCGGAAACGGGUUGGGGAGGGUGAGUUUCGGUUAUGAGGAAGAACGUGUCCUUUAAGGGCGCGUUGGGUGUAACAAGCGCGCAACCUUGAUUGCGCGGCGGCCUGUCAGUCCACGAAGUGAAAGAGAAAGUUGGCACUCCCCUGAAUGUAAGUUCAAGUUAUGAAGGAAACCCUUGCUGAGUUCUUCGGCGAGACGGCUUCGCAGGUGAAACCAUGCGAUACAUUCGGACAAAUUCCAUACAACGCUUUCGUGAAUCAAGAGACAACUUUGCGGACUUCAGCGAUCUUCCAGCUGUCUAUCUCUACAUCACAUUUUUUUCCCUGUUAGCACUCUCGGAAAGACCACGCAAUCUUGGCCUGUACAACCACGUUUCUUUACUAUUUAAUUUUCGUUGCUUAUUGCUAUUUCAUACUAAGAUUUGUAGAGUACGUGCUAAUUUGUCGGCUUUCCUGUCUGGAACGCUUCUUUUUAUUAUCGCUGCUAAGACCCGUUUUUUUUUUUUCAUCGUGUACGCCUGCGUCUAGCUCCGCCCCUUUUCUCAUGUUGCAGAAGCUGUCCGAGAGGUUAUAACGAGCCCAUUCCUACAGUUAAAUCCCACCCACACAAUCUCUCACCUUUCGGCUCUUCCAAAUGUCCAAGCGUAGUUGUAUAAAGAAAGCGGACUGUAGCCAUGCCAACGUCGCCUUUCCCCCCCCCCCCCCUCAAGUUCGUUCUGUCAUGUCCUAAGUUCAUGUUCUAGGUUUCCGUGCGGUUCUCUUUCUCAAUAACUCUUUCUGUCCCGCGGGUUCGACGUUUUUUCGUCUUGGGAAUGUGAAAGCCGCAGUACUAUACACAUGUAUUCGAUACACACCGUUUCUUUUUUUUUCACUCUCUCGGCAUCCCAGUUUGUCGCCCCCUUAUGGUCACGCUAAUUCACACGUCGUCUAGCUCCUCAUCUGUGGAAUGUCUCAGUCACACGUCUACUGUGACGCACGGGCGCGCCUCCUAGCUUUGGUAUUGCGGCAAUAACGAAACCGCUAGCGCAAGAAAGCGUAGUGGUCUUUGAAAACGCGACAGGCUGCAUGUAACGACAGUUGCGCUGGUAGUUCAUAAAUUAGUGCCUUUCCAGUCUUCGCAGAUGCCUCCUUCAAAAAAAAAAGCCAUUGCAGCAACCGGGACGGUAAACGCGAAGCUCGCCGCAGGCACGGCAAUGACACAAUCGCGUCCUCACUGGAAGUUGGAAUGGCUCUCACAAGUAUUCGCCAUCCAACGUUUACAACAUCAUAGGGUCGUAGCGGCAGUACUGGUAGAAUGGUGGUCGGGAAGUAUUGCCGAUGACGAUGAGAAUGAGUACUUGUGUCUCAUGGUUACAGUGAAAUUGAUAGCGUAGUUAGUAAGUUAUUGAGCGUGCUUACAACCUACAGAUUUAUGAACCUACAGAUUUAUCGAUAACAACCACAUUGUCUCUUUCCACGAGUGCUUUCAUGUUGAACAAUGACGAAUGUCCCGAUGUUGCAAGUGGUUUUGCUGCCGACUACGCUCUUGAAGGCGAUGGCUGCUUGACAAGUUUCUGAGAUAGCUGUCGCUUGUUAGAGCACUGAAACAAUGCUCAAAUUCUCGCCAAAUUUUUUUAUGAAGGCUGGUAUUCCAUGCUUGACUCACGUGACCUCAGCCAGCAGCGGAUGUGUACUAAUGGUGACUAGAGCAGUGCGCUAAUCCAUCAAACGCUGCCUCGAGUUUCUAACUCUUUAAACAACAAACAAAUUUAUACGAAUCUGAGGGGUGCUUUUAUUCUGACGACGACUUAACUGGCCGUAUCGAGCGUGCUCUUGCAGACCGCUUGUGGUGCGUGACUGUAGUGACGUCAUUGCCGCUUCCGUGGCGAGCUAUCAGCGCCAUUAUUGCGGUUUCCCAAAUUCAAUUCAAACACAGUCUGAACGCUUGCUGUCUUGCACCGUUUCGCGCUAGCAAUGUUAAGCUCUUCUGAAGCUCCCGCGAGUCCACGAAGUCGCGCCUGCGUCGUAAAAUUCAUGCUCAAUACGAAACUGUACAUUACGGUUCAUCCAAGUACAUGUGUAUAGAUAUCCUUUGGUCUCUAACCAUUGCUUUCAUUUUCCUAUCUGACCGCCUUCAAGAAUAACAAAAACAAAAGCUCGUAUGCGACAGACGAGAUGCGCGCACGUGAGUCCAAGUUAUAGCGCGCAAAGAGAAAUAUGGUGUGGCAGCGGUCGAAUAGUGACAAGAAGCCGAGUGUUUACCAAAAGGUGCGAUGGAACGAUCACCUCCGUCCCUAACAUGAUGGCGGCUAUUUCUAUGAAGAGAGGAGGACUGGGCGUCUGAUAGAGUGCGUGGGUGCGUUCCGAUUCGUCUCUGCUGGCCAAUGAAAAGCCUGUGCGUGGAAUUGGGCUACCUACUUGUAUGUGCGCAAGCGUUACGGGGCAGUGCUAAGAGAACCGCCAAAAUAACGGCAUUGCUCAUUCACUUGGCUCGUCAUCGAGACCCAUUGAAGUAUCAACGUCUGCAGUGAGUUUGUGCAACCCUUAAAAGCGGUGAGUUUGUGCAACCCUUAAAAUGUAGGAAUUACGCCUCGAUGCCGACUGCGUUCCCGUCAACAACGCUCCCACGGACCAGCCACGAAGCGUUUCUGGUCGCGUGACGUCACAGCGCCGCAAACUUAUUCCAAAACGAUUCCUUUGUAUUCCGUUUUACAGACGGCGUGCAUUCAUAGUACCAGUGAACUUGGUGGCCCAUCUGACGACAGUGCACGUCAGAGGCACCGAGGAGUUGGAAUAUUCACGUGCAGGCCAAUGCGCUGUCAAUCCGGAGGGCAUGGGGCGACAAGACAUUUAAGAAAAUACGAUGAUAUUGGCGACAAUCUUUAAGAGAAGGAAGACAUCACGGCAGUAUGGAAAGAACUCUGCACAUCACCGACCCCUGGCUGGUGAAAGAGCACGAACCUCACUUGGUGCGUGACACAGAACUUCGGAGCGAGAAAGCACUUUCGAGAAUUUCCGCCGCUUA
rnacentral:lncRNA from 1 species